UUACUCCUACGGGAGGCAGCAGUAGGGAAUCUUCCACAAUGGACGAAAGUCUGAUGGAGCAACGCCGCGUGAGUGAUGAAGGUUUUCGGAUCGUAAAACUCUGUUGUUAAAGAAGAACAAGUGUUAGAGUAACUGUUAACACUUUGACGGUAUUUAACCAGAAAGCCACGGCUAACUACGUGCCAGCAGCCGCGGUAAUAA
rnacentral:rRNA from 1 species